CAGCAAUGGCCGGAGCGCGGUUGAACUUUUGUAAAUUUGGACGACUAGAGGAAGAAGAAGUCGUAACAAGGUUUCCGUAGGUGAACCUGCGGAAGGAUCAUUAGCGUUGAAUUGGUCUUGGUGCCAUGCGAAAAACAUGUGGAUUGUGGGCUAUGUGA
rnacentral:rRNA from 1 species